rnacentral:rRNA from 1 species
GAGUUUGAUCCUGGCUCAGAUUGAACGCUGGCGGCAUGCUUUACACAUGCAAGUCGAACGGUAACGCGGGGGGCAACCCUGGCGACGAGUGGCGAACGGGUGAGUAAUACAUCGGAACAUGUCCUGGAGUGGGGGAUAGCUCGGCGAAAGCCGGAUUAAUACCGCAUACGCUCUGAGGAGGAAAGCGGGGGACCUUCGGGCCUCGCGCUGCAGGAGUGGCCGAUGUCGGAUUAGCUAGUUGGUGAGGUAAAGGCUCACCAAGGCGACGAUCCGUAGCUGGUCUGAGAGGAUGAUCAGCCACACUGGGACUGAGACACGGCCCAGACUCCUACGGGAGGCAGCAGUGGGGAAUUUUGGACAAUGGGGGCAACCCUGAUCCAGGGCCAUGCCGCGUGAGUGAAGAAGGCC